GCCAGGCAUGGUGGUACACACUAUAGUCCUAGCUGCUUGGGAAGCUGAGGCAGAAGGAUCUCUUGAAUCCAAGAGUUCUGGGCUGCAGUGCACUAUGCCAGUUGGAUGUCUGCACUAAGUUUGGCAUCAAUAUGCCUAAGGAGAGUAAACUGGCCCAGGUCAGAAACGGAGCAGGUCAAAAGUCCUGUGCUAACAGUAAUGGGAUCACACCUGUAAAUAACCUCUGUGUACCAGCCUGGGCAACACAGUGAGAUCCCAUCUCU
rnacentral:SRP_RNA from 1 species